rnacentral:rRNA from 1 species
UACGAAGGGGGCUAGCGUUGCUCGGAAUCACUGGGCGUAAAGCGCACGUAGGCGGAUCUUUAAGUCAGGGGUGAAAUCCCAAGGCUCAACCUUGGAACUGCCUUUGAUACUGGGGGAUCUCGAGUCCGGAAGAGGUGAGUGGAACUGCGAGUGUAGAGGUGAAAUUCGUAGAUAUUCGCAAGAACACCAGUGGCGAAGGCGGCUCACUGGUCCGGUACUGACGCUGAGGCACGAAAGCGUGGGGAUCAAACAGG